GAUGAAGAACGUAGCGAAAUGCGAUAAGUAGUGUGAAUUGCAGAAUUCAGUGAAUCAUCGAGUCUUUGAACGCACAUUGCGCCCCCUGGUAUUCCGGGGGGCAUGCCUGUCCGAGCGUCAUUGCUGCCCUCAAGCAGGGCUUGUGUGUUGGGCCUCCGUCCUCCUCCCGGGGGACGGGCCCGAAAGGCAGCGGCGGCACCGCGUCCGGUCCUCGAGCGUAUGGGGCUUCGUCACCCGCUCUUGUAGGCCCGGCCGGCGCUUGCCGACACAUCAAUCUUUUUUCCAGGUUGACCUCGGAUCAGGUAGGGAUACCCGCUGAACUUAAGCAUAUCAAUAAGCGGAGGA
rnacentral:misc_RNA from 1 species